UUCUAAUUAUCUUUUGUUGUUUAAAAAGAUUUUACAAUUGAAAUAUGCAAAACUGAAUUAAUUUUAAUAAUUUACUUUAACUAAAAAAAUCAAUAAAAAAAAAAUUGUUAAAAAGAUUUACUCAAAUGAGCGUGUUAUAAAAUUUUAUUAUGAUUGUAAAAAUCGAUUGUUAAAUUCAGGUGAAACUAAAAAUCAUUUCUUUUUUUAGAUUUAUGAUUAAUAUAGCAACAUGUUACCAAAAAAUUUGGAAUAUUAUAGACUACUUUGUAUUUGUUGUGCCUGGAUGAAUGCGUCAGAAUAACGGCCUAGAGUACAUGUUUAUUUACAAUCUUGAACAUGAUGGACAAUUUGUUGUUUACAGAAAUUGUAUUUAGGAUUUACUUUUUUUGAUUGUUAUAAUUGUCAUGGCAGUAUUUAUUAAUGUGGUCUGUAAUUUGUAAACAGACCGAGCCUGAAAGACUGUACUUGAAUAACAGCCCAGCCCGUUGACCAAGUGUGCCAGCUCUAAUGGAUAAUAGAUUUAUAACUCAGACUGUGCUGACUUGGGACUCAAAACAUUUUUGCUACUGUUGUACACUAGAUCUUGCUGCACUCGUUUAAGCGGUGUCUUCUCAUCAAAAUGAUCGCAUAUUUAUAUAUACAGUCAUUGUUUUUGUUCUCUUCCGGUGACGUCUUGUUGUCAGACACAGAGUGAAGAACAGCGUUUUGUUUGCUCUCGGAGUUCAUUGUAAACGCCUGCAGACUUUUCCAUCAAUCGUACUUUAAUAUUAUUUUCGAAUAAUAUUUUGUUUUUUGUUAUUCCCUGUAUGAAAAAUCACACUGAAUUUUGUAACAUACUCAUUUUUCUUAAGUAGAAAACUUCAAGUUUAUAAUAUUUUUAGUUAAUUCAAGCUACUGGCUUCUUAAAAGAAAUACCUUUAUCAUAUAAAACUGAGAUGUUUUUAAAAUCCCAACAGUAUAGUAAAUACUCCAAUAUUUUUAGUAUAUUACACGUACUCUGGAUUAUUGAUUUUAAAUCUUAGAAUAUUUCUUUAUUUAUCGGUUUGAUAUGGAUUUAAUUUACAUCAAGUUUGUUAUGUUAACAUACAAGGUCUAAAUUUAAAGUUUUUAUUAAUUUUGCUAAUAACUAAGUAGUUCAGUAAUGAAAUAAAUAAACUCUUUUAUUUUUAUUUUUAUUUUUUCAUGUGGAAAUCAAUUGGAGUUUAAUUUUAAUAGAUCAAUCAUUAUUAUAGAUCAUUUUUUAAAUUAUUUAUUUAUUUUAUACACAAUUAGUAAAUAAUUAAUAAAACACCAUUUGUGAAUCUUUAAAUUAGUUUUUAUAUGUCAUAAAAUUAAAAUGAAACGGGCUCUGUAAAAUCACAUACCUUAACUGAAUAACGUGUAUCAAUGCAUAAUUAAAUAAAAACUGUUUAUUUAGCUCUAGCACCAGUCAUAGCUGUAAUUUCUUUUAUAUUUUGCU